rnacentral:rRNA from 1 species
AUUUAGAGGAAGUAAAAGUCGUAACAAGGUCUCCGUUGGUGAACCAGCGGAGGGAUCAUUACUGAGUUUACGCUCUACAACCCUUUGUGAACAUACCUAUAACUGUUGCUUCGGCGGGUAGGGUCUCCGUGACCCUCCCGGCCUCCCGCCCCCGGGCGGGUCGGCGCCCGCCGGAGGAUAACCAAACUCUGAUUUAACGACGUUUCUUCUGAGUGGUACAAGCAAAUAAUCAAAACUUUUAACAACGGAUCUCUUGGUUCUGGCAUCGAUGAAGAACGCAGCGAAAUGCGAUAAGUAAUGUGAAUUGCAGAAUUCAGUGAAUCAUCGAAUCUUUGAACGCACAUUGCGCCCGCCAGCAUUCUGGCGGGCAUGCCUGUUCGAGCGUCAUUUCAACCCUCAAGCUCUGCUUGGUGUUGGGGCCCUACAGCUGAUGUAGGCCCUCAAAGGUAGUGGCGGACCCUCCCGGAGCCUCCUUUGCGUAGUAACUUUACGUCUCGCACUGGGAUCCGGAGGGACUCUUGCCGUAAAACCCCCAAUUUUCCAAAGGUUGACCUCGGAUCAGGUAGGAAUACCCGCUGAACUUAAGCAUAUCAAUAA